CUUUCCUUGACGACGACUGGCGCACGGGUGAGUAACGCGUAUCCAACCUUCCCAUGACCACGGAUAACCGUGAAAGACGGCCUAAUACCGUAUGACGUCGUUGCCGACAUCGAAAGACGGCCAAAGGUUUGGCGGUGAUGGAUGGGGAUGCGUCUGAUUAGCUUGUUGGCGGGGUAACGGCCCACCAAGGCGACGAUCAGUAGGGGUUCUGAGAGGAAGGUCCCCCACAUUGGAACUGAGACACGGUCCAAACUCCUACGGGAGGCAGCAGCC
rnacentral:rRNA from 1 species